UACGUAGGGUGCAAGCGUUAAUCGGAAUUACUGGGCGUAAAGCGUGCGCAGGCGGCUAUGCAAGUCAGGUGUGAAAUCCCCGGGCUCAACCUGGGAACUGCAUUUGUGACUGCAUGGCUAGAGUACGGUAGAGGGGGGUGGAAUUCCGCGUGUAGCAGUGAAAUGCGUAGAUAUGCGGAGGAACACCGAUGGCGAAGGCAAUCCCCUGGACCUGUACUGACGCUCAUGCACGAAAGCGUGGGGAGCAAACAGG
rnacentral:rRNA from 1 species